rnacentral:SRP_RNA from 1 species
UCUGGGAGUUGUGGCGUGCUCUUGUAAUCCAGCUACUCGGAAGAUUGGUUAUUUGGCCGGUUUGAGGAUAAGCAUCCUGGUAGUCGGUCUCCUAUGGCUAUCAGGCGUCCACGCUAAGCUCGGCAUUAAUAUGCUGUUGGAGAGGGACCUGAGGUUCGAUUUGGCUCAGAGACGAAACGCAACAGGCAAAAGACCCCGUGUCGAGCAGUAGUGGGAUUGCGCCUGUGAAUAUUUGUCGGCUGACAGACUGUUCCCUACAACUGAACACCAAUCUCU